UACGUAGGGGGCAAGCGUUGUCCGGAAUCAUUGGGCGUAAAGGGCUCGUAGGCGGUUUGUCGCGUCGGGGGUGAAAACCCAGGGCUUAACCCUGGGCCUGCUUCCGAUACGGGCAGACUAGAGGUAUGCAGGGGAGAACGGAAUUCCUGGUGUAGCGGUGAAAUGCGCAGAUAUCAGGAGGAACACCGGUGGCGAAGGCGGCCUUCUGGACUGACACUGACGCUGAGGCGCGAAAGCGUGGGGAGCAAACAGG
rnacentral:rRNA from 1 species